rfam:Alligator mississippiensis ScZkoYb_5, whole genome shotgun sequence.
CCAAAGGCUCUUUUCAGAGCCGCCCACAGUGUCCGAAAAGAGUUGG